rnacentral:rRNA from 1 species
GACGAACGCUGGCGGCGUGCUUAACACAUGCAAGUCGAACGGAAAGGCCCUGCUUUUGUGGGGUGCUCGAGUGGCGAACGGGUGAGUAACACGUGAGUAACCUGCCCUUGACUCUGGGAAAACUUCAGGAAACUGGGGCUAAUACCGGAUAGGAGCUCCUGCUGCAUGGUGGGGGUUGGAAAGUUUCGGCGGUUGGGGAUGGACUCGCGGCUUAUCAGCCUGCUGGUGGGGUAGUGGCUUAGGAAGGCUUUGACGGGUAGCCGGCCUGAGAGGGUGACCGGCCACAUUGGGACUGAGAUACGGCCCAGACUCCUACGGGAGGCAGCAGUGGGGAGUAUUGCACAAUGGGCGGAAGCCUGAUGCAGCGACGCCGCGUGCGGGAUGACGGCCUUCGGGUUGUAAACCGCUUUCGCCUGUGACGAAGCGUGAGUGACGGUAAUGGGUAAAGAAGCACCGGCUAACUACGUG